rnacentral:tRNA from 1 species
GGUCUCGUGGUCUAGUGGUAUGAUUCUCGCUUUUGGUGCGAGAGGCCCCGCGUUCGAAUCGCGGCGGGACCC